UUUAUUCUUAAGGCACUUUGUGUUGAUCUUACGUUUUCGUGUGGUCACAACCUUACCUGCUAACAGUUGUUUAAUUACCUACUAGUUUGUUUUUUAUAUGGAAUUGGAUCCUAUGAGCUGUACUUGUAUGGGAAUUGAAUUGGUUACUCAAGCACUGUAGCCAGAAGAGACUUGAAAAAAGGACAUAUAUCCCAAGUUGAAAACUUGAAAAGUACUUAAGAUGAUUCGCUUGUUUUCUGUGUCUGGUAUGGUUUUACGGAACAACUUCAACAGGACAUUUUCUACAUCAAGAAGCUGUGAGAAGCUGCGUGUGGCCAUCAUCGGCCAGAGCUCGUUCGCCGGCGAGGUGUACAAGCUGCUGCGCAAGGAUGGCCACACGGUGGUGGGCGUGUUUACUGUGCCCGAUCAGGGCGCGCGCGAGGACCCCGUCGCCACGACGGCGGCCGCGGACGGCGUGCCCGUCUUCAAGUUCAAGUCGUGGCGCAAGAAGGGCGUGGCACUGCCCGAGGUGCUCGAGCAGUACAAGUCGGUGAACGCCGAGCUGAACGUGCUGCCCUUCUGCAGCCAGUUCAUCCCCAUGGAGGUCAUCAACGCGCCGCGACACCAGAGCAUCUGCUACCACCCGUCGCUGCUGCCCCGCCACCGCGGCGCAUCGUCCAUCAACUGGACGCUGAUGUGCGGCGACAAGAAGGCGGGCUUCUCGAUCUUCUGGGCGGACGACGGCCUGGACACGGGCCCCAUUCUGCUGCAGAAGGAGUGCUCGGUCGACCCGGACGAGACGGUCGACACGCUCUACAACAAGUUCAUGUACCCGGAGGGCAUCAAGUCUAUGGCUGAUGCGGUGAACAUGGUGUCUGCGGGCACUGCGCCGCGGGUGCCCCAGACAGAGGAGGGUGCCACCUACGACCCCUUCCUCAAUAAGAAGGAACUGGUGCGUCUGGACACCGAGAGACCGGCCGAGGACAUUCACAACUUUAUCCGAGGACUGGACAGCUCGCCCGGAGCCUGGAUUAUGAUGGACGGUAAGGAGACCAAGCUGUACGGCUCGAAGCGGUUCUCGGGGCCGAAGCCGACCGGCACCGAGGUAGCCAUCGAGGGCUGUGACCGGCCGGGCGUCAUCUGCUCCCACGGUCUCGUCAUCACCGGCUCGGACGGCAAGAUGGUAUCGGUGGCGCGUCUCUCGGUCGAGGGUAAGUUCGUGCAGGCGGCCAAGUACGGCCAGGCGGAGGAGACCCGCGAGCGACUCGAGCUGACAGCCGAGGAGACGGCCGUGGCAGACGACCUCCGGAAAACCUGGGCCGACAUCCUGAAAAUCGACGUCAGCGACGAGACAGACUUUUUCGUGGCCGGCGCCGGCAGCAUGGACGUCGUCAGGCUGCUGGAGGAGGUGAAGAUGAAGUCGGGUGUCGAGCUGCAGAACGAGGACGUCUUCAUGGCCUCCAAGUUCGACGACUUUGUGCAGACAGUGGUGUUUGUGUCUCGCGGCGGCAGUCUGAAGCCCGAGUUCACCUAUGACGCCAUCAAGAUGCACGUCAACAACAUGGACAUCUCGUUCCCGCACCAGAUCUUCAUCAACAACGAGUUCACGGAGAGCAGCACGGGUCGACAGAUUACCUCCAUCAACCCGGCCGACGAGUCGCCCAUCUGUGACGUGGCGCGGUCGUCGCCGUCCGAUGUGGACCGCGCUGUGAGGGCGGCGCACGAGGCCUUCACCGAGGGCGAGUGGGGCAAAAUGAACGCCAGGGACCGCGGCGCGCUCAUGUUCAAACUGGCCGACCUGAUGGACCAGCACAAGGAGGAACUGGCCACCAUCGAAUCCAUCGACUCUGGCGCCGUCUAUACGCUGGCACUGAAGACGCACAUCGGCAUGUCCAUUGACACGUGGCGCUACUUCGCUGGAUGGUGCGACAAGAUCCAGGGCAAGACGAUACCGAUCAACAACGCCCGGCCCAACCGGAAUCUGACCAUCACCAAACGCGAGCCCAUCGGUGUGUGCGGCCUGGUGACGCCCUGGAACUACCCCCUGAUGAUGCUCUCCUGGAAGAUGGCCGCCUGUCUAGCGGCCGGUAACACUGUGGUCAUCAAGCCCGCCCAGGUGUCCCCGCUCACGGCGCUGAAGUUUGCCGAGCUGGCGGUCCGGGCCGGCUUCCCGCCGGGCGUCAUCAACGUGGUGCCCGGAUCAGGCGGCGAGUGCGGUCAGGCGAUAGCUGACCACCCGCUGGUGCGCAAACUCGGCUUCACCGGCUCCACUGAGAUCGGCAAGGUCAUCAUGAAGUCGUGCGCAGAGUCCAACCUGAAGAAGGCCUCGCUCGAGCUCGGCGGCAAGUCGCCGCUCGUCAUAUUCGCCGACUGUGACAUGGACAAGGCCGUGCGCAUGGGUAUGAGCAGCGUCUUCUUCAACAAGGGCGAGAACUGCAUUGCGGCCGGCCGUCUCUUCAUCGAGGAGUCCAUCUACGACGAGUACCUGCGCAGGAUUGUCGAGGAGAUCGGCAAAAUGACGAUCGGCGACCCGCUGGACCGUUCCACGCAGCACGGCCCGCAGAACCACCUGGCCCACCUGCAGAAGCUGCUCGAGUACGUCGACAUCGGCGUCAAGGAGGGCGCGCGUCUGGUGGUCGGUGGGAAGCGCGUGGACCGGCCCGGCCUGUACAUGGAGCCCACCGUGCUGGCAGACGUCGAGGACCACAUGUUUAUCGCCAAGGAGGAGUCGUUCGGACCCAUCAUGGUCGUCUCAAAGUUCGCAGAGGGUGACGUGGAGGGUGUGGUUCGACGCGCCAAUGACACCGAGUACGGCCUGGCCUCUGGCGUGUUCACGCGCGACGUGAACCGCGCCCUGUACGUCUCGGACCGGCUCGACGCCGGCACCUGCUUCGUCAACACCUACAACAAGACGGACGUGGCCGCCCCCUUCGGUGGCUUCAAACAGUCCGGCUUCGGAAAGGACCUCGGUGAGGAGGCACUUAACGAGUACCUCAAGACCAAAACCAUCACCUUCGAGUACUGAGUCGGCGCCCGGCUGAUGACGUCCCGGUUGUGUGAUGACGUCAUGACCGUGUGAUGACGUCAUUGCUACCAACUGAAGAUCACUGCGCCGGGCGGACCUAGUUACGCCGCCAACGGACUUAUGUCAAACUACCGAAUGUGCUCACUGGCUUAGUAAAAGGUCGGGCGUGUCGAAUCGCUCAUUGACUCGGUGAAAUGUCGGGAGCCAGUGUCGCUCAGUGCCGUCGGAAAGUGCCAUCAUGCUGAUCUGAUCGGUCUCAUUGCGAGGGACGAGUGACGCGAUGAGCCCGUCACGAAAUGAACCUCUCUGGUGAUCUGAUUGAUACUUACAAACAUCCCUGGCUGUUGGGAUGUGUUUAAAGAUGUUGUAUAUAAAGGUCACUAGCGGGCCAUGCGUGCUUCCUGAAACCAUUCGGGUACUCUGGAUCAGGGUUUGACUCUGGACCUAUUUUCACCAGCGAUGGUAUCGCUAACUGUAGCUAUUUGUGGACAUAUAACAGGGAUAAAAACUGGUAUGGUGCGAAUUUUUAGGAUAUUGUGCGCACCGUGGAAGUGAUCGUUGGACCUUGUGUGUGGCCCCGUUUUAAUGGGCUGCGCAAUAUGGGUUAAAGUCGCGUGAUGCAGGCUAUUUGAGAUCUGACUUUUGUUGAUAUAUUUUUACGACGUGUGUCGUUUUCAAUGAGUGGUGCGCUAAUUUAGUGACUGUUGUUUACUACUUACAACUCUGUUGCGCUUUGCCGUGCAUGUAAAGCGCCUUCGGAGGAUCGCUUAAGUAUUCAGUCAUCUCCGUGGUAGCUCACAGUCUGAUAUCAGUAAGCACAGAGGGGUAGUGAAUUUCAAUAGUCUCUGAAUAACAAAUAGUUGUCAGACAUCUCAUGGAUGUGUGUAGGUUUGUGUUUGUUAUGGUGCUGCCAGGCGAUGGCUGAAUCUCGUCUCUGCUACGACUGCCACCGUGUGAGUUUAGACUGGGUUAAGAACUGCCGAGCCGUUAUGGGUUUAAGUCUUUUGCUCUAUCCCUGGUUGAUGUGGAAUCCAUGGUUCAGAGUAUGCUGGUCUUUGUACGUAGAGCUUUCUCCAUAUGUAAAUAAACGGAAUAUCUGGUUUA
rnacentral:misc_RNA from 1 species